UAGUCUGCAACCCGACCUACACGAAGCCGGAAUCGCUAGUAAUCGCGAAUCAGAAUGUCGCGGUGAAUACGUUCCCGGGUCUUGUACACACCGCCCGUCACACCAUGGGAGUCAGCAACGCCCGAAGUCAGUGACCUAACCGAAAGGGAGGAGCUGCCGAAGGCGGGGCCGGUAACUGGGGGUGAAGUCGUAACAAGGUACC
rnacentral:rRNA from 1 species